GAUGAACGCUGGCGGCGUGCCUAAUACAUGCAAGUCGAGCGAACGGACGAGAAGCUUGCUUCUCUGAUGUUAGCGGCGGACGGGUGAGUAACACGUGGAUAACCUGCCUAUAAGACUGGGAUAACUUCGGGAAACCGUAGCUAAUACCGGAUAAUAUUUUGAACCGCAUGGUUCAAAAGUGAAAGACGGUCUUGCUGUCACUUAUAGAUGGAUCCGCGCUGCAUUAGCUAGUUGGUAAGGUAACGGCUUACCAAGGCAACGAUGCUUAGCCGACCUGAGAGGGUGAUCGGCCACACUGGAACUGAGACACGGUCCAGACUCCUACGGGAGGCAGCAGUAGGGAAUCUUCCGCAAUGGGCGAAAGCCUGACGGAGCAACGCCGCGUGAGUGAUGAAGGUCUUCGGAUCGUAAAACUCUGUUAUUAGGGAAGAACAUAUGUGUAAGUAACUGUGCACAUCUUGACGGUACCUAAUCAGAAAGCCACGGCUAACUACGUG
rnacentral:rRNA from 1 species